rnacentral:rRNA from 1 species
UAUGUGAUCGUCUCUCGCAUAUCAAUAAGCGGAGGAAAAGAAACUAACAAGGAUUCCCCUAGUAACGGCGAGUGAAGCGGGAAGAGCUCAAAUUUGAAAUCUUAAAGGGUUUCCCUUUACGAAUUGUAGUUUAAAGAAGUGUUUUCUGUUGAGGUUUUGGUAAAAGUUCUUUGGAAUAGGACAUCAUAGAGGGUGAGAAUCCCGUAUUUGACCUUUACUUUCAACUUUGUGAUACACUUUCAAAGAGUCGGAUUGUUUGGGAAUGCAGUCCAAAAUGGGUGGUAAAUUUCAUCUAAAGCUAAAUAUUGGCGAGAGACCGAUAGCGAACAAGUACCGUGAGGGAAAGAUGAAAAGAACUUUGAAAAGAGAGUUAAACAGUACGUGAAAUUGUCAAAAGGGAAGCGUUUGACAUCCAGUGUUGUUUUUCUGAAAAUCAAUUAAAGAACUGUUUAUGCUAAGUUGUUUAGACUUUAUCAGCUAACUGUUUAGUUUUGAGCUUUUCUUUAAUGCACUUUUCAGUUAACAAGUCAACAUCAAUUUCUUUUGCUGUAAAAAAGCUUGAGGAAGGUGGCUUGAGAUUCGUCUUAAGUGUUUAUAGCCUCUUGCCUAUGCAGUCGGAGAGAUUGAGGUCUGCAGCGUAGAUCCUUCGGGGCUAAAUGCAUUUGUGCUAAGUUAUAGCAUUUUAUAGACAACUUGUUGACUAUGAUUUGUCUUGUAGCUUACUCGCUUAUGUUAUUUUACCUACGCUUAGGAUGUUGACUGAUAUGUAGUCGUA